AAGUUAGAAUUACUUAGUGUUCUUUCUGCACAUAAGCAAUACCUGAACACGAUGUUCAGGUAAGCCGCCACUGAGCCACGGAUGGCGAAUUGGCGGCGGUUGCGUAUUAUACUUACAGGUCAAUUAAGAACACUUAGUAAUUCUUACUUG
rnacentral:ncRNA from 1 species